GACGAACGCUGGCGGCGUGCUUAACACAUGCAAGUGGAGCGACGAACCGGGGCUUGCCCCGGGGCAGAGCCGCGAACGGGUGAGUAACACGUGGGUAACCCACCCCGAUGACCGGGACAACCCGAGGAAACUCGGGCUAAUACCGGAUGUGCUCCUUGACCUCGAGGUCAAGGCGUAAAGAUAGCUUCGGCCUUCGCAUCGGGACGGGCCCGCGGCCCAUUAGCUUGUUGGUGGGGUAAAGGCCUACCAAGGCGACGAUGGGUAGCUGUCUGAGAGGACGAUCAGCCACACUGGGACUGAGACACGGCCCAGACUCCUACGGGAGGCAGCAGUGGGGAAUCUUGCGCAAUGCGCGAAAG
rnacentral:rRNA from 1 species